rnacentral:sRNA from 1 species
UGAACUAAGUCUACUACCAAUUUGUGUUA